rnacentral:rRNA from 1 species
GACGAACGCUGGCGGCGUGCUUAACACAUGCAAGUCGAACGGAAACGCCCUGCUUUUUUGUGGUGCUCGAGUGGCGAACGGGUGAGUAACACGUGAGUAACCUGCCCUUGACUUUGGGAUAACUUCAGGAAACUGGGGCUAAUACCGGAUAGGAGCUCCUGCUGCAUGGUGGGGGUUGGAAAGUUUCGGCGGUUGGGGAUGUACUCGCGGCUUAUCAGCUUGUUGGUGGGGUAGUGGCUUACCAAGGCUUUGACGGGUAGCCGGCCUGAGAGGGUGACCGGCCACAUUGGGACUGAGAUACGGCCCAGACUCCUACGGGAGGCAGCAGUGGGGAAUAUUGCACAAUGGGCGGAAGCCUGAUGCAGCAACGCCGCGUGCGGGAUGACGGCCUUCGGGUUGUAAACCGCUUUCGCCUGUGACGAAGCGUGAGUGACGGUAAUGGGUAAAGAAGCACCGGCUAACUACGUG